GAUGAACGCUGGCGGCGUGCCUAAUACAUGCAAGUCGAGCGAACAGACGAGGGGCUUGCUCCUCUCUCGUUUGCGGCGGGCGGGGGAGUAACACGUGGAUAACCCCCCUAUAAGACUGGGAUAAAUUCGGGAAACCGGAGCUAAUACCGGAUAAUCUACUGAACCGCAUGGGUCAAUAGAGAAAGACGGUUUUGCUGUCACUUCUCGAUGGGUACCCGCCGCAUUAGCUAGUUGGUAAGGUAACGGCUUACCAAGGCAACGAUGCGUAGCCGACCUGAGAGGGUGAUCGGCCACACUGGAACUGAGACACGGUCCAGACUCCUACGGGAGGCAGCAGUAGGGAAUCUUCCGCAAUGGGCGAAAGCUUGACGGAGCAACGCCGCGUGAGUGAUGAAGGUCUUCGGAUCGUAAAACUCUGUUAUUAGGGAAGAACAAAUGUGUAAGUAACUAUGCACGUCUUGACGGUACCUAAUCAGAAAGCCACGGCUAACUACGUG
rnacentral:rRNA from 1 species